GCGGGCGGCUCAAGUUGUUGAUUUCAAAGGGCUGGCAGGUGCCAGCUAUGAUUUAGGUUCCAGCGGCGCAAGCUGUAAGAGUUCGAGUCUCUUCGUCCGCACCA
rnacentral:tRNA from 1 species